rnacentral:misc_RNA from 1 species
UCUCCGUUGGUGAACCAGCGGAGGGAUCAUUACAGGCCUCGCAAGACUCCUACAACCCUGUGAACUUAACUAUAAGCACGUUGCUUCGGCGGGUGUCUCGGAGGGGGUUCUCCCUCCCCGAGACGCUAAACCCGCCGGCAGCCUACUAUACUCUGUCUCUUUGCGUUGGCAUCUCGAGUACAAUCAAACAAGUUAAAACUUUCAACAACGGAUCUCUUGGUUCUG